UGGAACUGUACAGGCUGAUGACUGGGUGGAUGGAUGGAACUGUACAGGCUGAUGACUGGGUGGAUGGAACUGUACAGGCUGAUGACUGGGUGGGUGGAUGGAACUGUACAGGCUGAUGACUGGGUGGAUGGAACUGUACAGGCUGAUGACUGGGUGGAUGGAACUGUACAGGCUGAUGACUGGGUGGAUGGAUGGAACUGUACAGGCUGAUGACUGGGUGGGUGGAUGGAACUGUACAGGCUGAUGACUGGGUGGGUGGAUGGAACUGUACAGGCUGACGUCUGGGUGGGUGGAUGGAACUGUACAGGCUGACGUCUGGGUGGAUGGAACUGUACAGGCUGAUGACUGGGUGGGUGGGUGGAACUGUACAGGCUGAUGACUGGGUGGGUGGAUGGAACUGUACAGGCUGACGUCUGGGUGGGUGGAUGGAACUGUACAGGCUGACGUCUGGGUGGAUGGAACUGUACAGGCUGACGACUGGGUGGAUGGAACUGUACAGGCUGAUGACUGGGUGGAUGGAACUGUACAGGCUGAUGACUGGGUGGAUGGAACUGUACAGGCUGAUGACUGGGUGGAUGGAACUGUACAGGCUGAUGACUGGAUGGAUGGAACUGUACAGGCUGAUGACUGGGUGGGUGGAUGGAACUGUACAGGCUGAUGACUGGGUGGAUGGAACUGUACAGGCUGAUGACUGGAUGGAUGGAACUGUACAGGCUGAUGACUGGGUGGAUGGAACUGUACAGGCUGAUGACUGGGUGGAUGGAUGGAACUGUACAGGCUGAUGACUGGGUGGAUGGAACUGUACAGGCUGAUGACUGGGUGGAUGGAUGGAACUGUACAGGCUGAUGACUGGGUGGAUGGAACUGUACAGGCUGAUGACUGGGUGGAUGGAACUGUACAGGCUGAUGACUGGGUGGAUGGAACUGUACAGGCUGAUGACUGGGUGGAUGGAACUGUACAGGCUGAUGACUGGGUGGAUGGAACUGUACAGGCUGAUGACUGGGUGGAUGGAACUGUACAGGCUGAUGACUGGAUGGAUGGAACUGUACAGGUUGAUGACUGUGUGGGUGGAUGGAACUGUACAGGUUGAUGACUGGGUGGAUGGAUGGAACUGUACAGGCUGAUGACUGGGUGGAUGGAACUGUACAGGCUGAUGACUGGGUGGAUGGAACUGUACAGGCUGAUGUCUGGAUGGAUGGAACUGUACAGGUUGAUGACUGUGUGGGUGGAUGGAACUGUACAGGUUGAUGACUGGGUGGAUGGAUGGAACUGUACAGGCUGAUGACUGGGUGGAUGGAACUGUUCAGGCUGAUGACUGGGUGGGUGGGUGGAACUGUACAGGUUGAUGACUGGGUGGAUGGAUGGAACUGUACAGGCUGAUGACUGGGUGGAUGGAACUGUACAGGUUGAUGACUGGGUGGAUGGAUGGAACUGUACAGGCUGAUGACUGGGUGGAUGGAACUGUACAGGCUGAUGACUGGGUGGAUGGAACUGUACAGGCUGAUGACUGGGUGGGUGGAUGGAACUGUUCAGGCUGAUGACUGGGUGGAUGGAUGGAACUGUACAGGCUGAUGACUGGGUGGAUGGAACUGUACAGGCUGAUGACUGGGUGGAUGGAUGGAACUGUACAGGCUGAUGACUGGGUGGAUGGAUGGAACUGUACAGGCUGAUGACUGGGUGGAUGGAUGGAACUGUACAGGCUGAUGACUGGGUGGAUGGAACUGUACAGGCUGAUGACUGGGUGGAUGGAACUGUACAGGCUGAUGACUGGGUGGAUGGAACUGUACAGGCUGAUGACUGGGUGGAUGGAACUGUACAGGCUGAUGACUGGGUGGAUGGAACUGUACAGGCUGAUGACUGGGUGGAUGGAUGGAACUGUACAGGCUGAUGACUGGGUGGAUGGAUGGAACUGUACAGGCUGAUGACUGGGUGGAUGGAACUGUACAGGCUGAUGACUGGGUGGAUGGAACUGUACAGGCUGAUGACUGGGUGGAUGGAACUGUACAGGCUGAUGACUGGGUGGGUGGAUGGAACUGUACAGGCUGAUGACCGGGUGGAUGGAACUGUACAGGCUGAUGACUGGGUGGAUGGAACUGUACAGGUUGAUGACUGGGUGGGUGGAUGGAACUGUACAGGCUGAUGACUGGGUGGGUGGAUGGAACUGUACAGGCUGAUGACUGGGUGGAUGGAUGGAACUGUACAGGCUGAUGACUGGGUGGGUGGAUGGAACUGUACAGGCUGAUGACUGGGUGGGUGGAUGGAACUGUACAGGCUGAUGACUGGGUGGAUGGAUGGAACUGUACAGGCUGAUGACUGGGUGGGUGGAUGGAACUGUACAGGCUGAUGACUGGGUGGAUGGAUGGAACUGUACAGGCUGAUGGCUGGGUGGAUGGAACUGUACAGGCUGAUGACUGGGUGGGUGGAACUGUACAGGCUGAUGACUGGAUGGAUGGAACUGUACAGGCUGAUGGCUGGGUGGAUGGAACUGUACAGGCUGAUGACUGGGUGGGUGGAUGGAACUGUACAGGCUGAUGGCUGGGUGGAUGGAACUGUACAGGCUGAUGACUGGGUGGAUGGAUGGAACUGUACAGGCUGAUGGCUGGGUGGAUGGAACUGUACAGGCUGAUGGCUGGGUGGAUGGAACUGUACAGGCUGAUGACUGGGUAAUGGAUGGAACUGUACAGGCUGAUGGCUGGGUGGAUGGAACUGUACAGGCUGAUGACUGGGUGGGUGGAACUGUACAGGCUGAUGACUGGAUGGAUGGAACUGUACAGGCUGAUGGCUGGGUGGAUGGAACUGUACAGGUUGAUGACUGGGUGGGUGGAUGGAACUGUACAGGCUGAUGACUGGGUGGAUGGAACUGUACAGGCUGAUGACUGGGUGGAUGGAACUGUACAGGUUGAUGACUGGGUGGAUGGAUGGAACUGUACAGGCUGAUGACUGGGUGGAUGGAUGGAACUGUACAGGCUGAUGACUGACUGGGUGGGUGGAUGGAACUGUACAGGCUGAUGACUGGGUGGGUGGAUGGAACUGUACAGGCUGAUGACUGGGUGGGUGGAUGGAACUGUACAGGCUGAUGACUGGGUGGAUGGAUGGAACUGUACAGGCUGAUGACUGGGUGGGUGGAUGGAACUGUACAGGCUGAUGACUGGGUGGAUGGAUGGAACUGUACAGGCUGAUGGCUGGGUGGAUGGAACUGUACAGGCUGAUGACUGGGUGGGUGGAACUGUACAGGCUGAUGACUGGAUGGAUGGAACUGUACAGGCUGAUGGCUGGGUGGAUGGAACUGUACAGGCUGAUGACUGGGUGGGUGGAUGGAACUGUACAGGUUGAUGACUGGGUGGGUGGAUGGAACUGUACAGGCUGAUGACUGGGUGGAUGGAACUGUACAGGCUGAUGACUGGGUGGAUGGAACUGUACAGGCUGAUGACUGGGUGGAUGGAACUGUACAGGCUGAUGACUGGGUGGAUGGAUGGAACUGUACAGGCUGAUGACUGGGUGGAUGGAUGGAACUGUACAGGCUGAUGGCUGGGUGGAUGGAACUGUACAGGCUGAUGACUGGGUGGAUGGAUGGAACUGUACAGGCUGAUGGCUGGGUGGAUGGAACUGUACAGGCUGAUGGCUGGGUGGAUGGAACUGUACAGGCUGAUGACUGGGUGGAUGGAUGGAACUGUACAGGCUGAUGGCUGGGUGGAUGGAACUGUACAGGCUGAUGACUGGGUGGGUGGAACUGUACAGGCUGAUGACUGGAUGGAUGGAACUGUACAGGCUGAUGGCUGGGUGGAUGGAACUGUACAGGUUGAUGACUGGGUGGGUGGAUGGAACUGUACAGGCUGAUGACUGGGUGGAUGGAACUGUACAGGCUGAUGACUGGGUGGAUGGAACUGUACAGGUUGAUGACUGGGUGGAUGGAUGGAACUGUACAGGCUGAUGACUGGGUGGAUGGAUGGAACUGUACAGGCUGAUGACUGACUGGGUGGGUGGAUGGAACUGUACAGGCUGAUGACUGGGUGGAUGGAUGGAACUGUACAGGCUGAUGACUGGGUGGAUGGAACUGUACAGGCUGAUGACUGGGUGGAUGGAACUGUACAGGCUGAGGACUGGGUGGAUGGAACUGUACAGGCUGAUGACUGGGUGGAUGGAUGGAACUGUACAGGCUGAUGACUGGGUGGAUGGAUGGAACUGUACAGGCUGAUGACUGGGUGGAUGGAACUGUACAGGUUGAUGACUGGGUGGAUGGAACUGUACAGGCUGAUGACUGGGUGGAUGGAACUGUACAGGCUGAUGACUGGGUGGGUGGAUGGAACUGUACAAGCUGAGGGCUGGGUGGAUGGAACUGAUGGUCUACCUCUUUCAUUCACUCUACAUGUCACCAAGUCAUUGGGUGGUUCUGACAAACUUGAACUGUGGGAAGAAAAUAAAGGCUUUAUUCUUAAAUAAAA